CAGUGGAAGAGGACAGUGAUUAUUACUGUGUUGCCAGGAAUGACAUUAGCACUCAGGAGAGUGAACCCCUCUCUGUGCAGGUUCUCACGCCUGCACAGAGAGACUGUAUCUAUGUCGUGAAUAUGCAGGACCAACCCAUUUAUGACUGCAUAGACAGAAUGAGCACCACCAUGGCCUCAACGUCACCGGUGGCACCUUAUGAAGUGACAAUCCACUCCACCACAAGAAACCAGUCUUUACAAAUCAACCAAACUACUCAAGAUCCACUUGUAAACAGCGCAAGUCGAUGGCUGCCACUGUGGUAUACGUUACUACGCUGGGGCUCUUUAACAUCUGUGCUGAUAUUUCUGUGUAUAGUUCUUACAUAUACAAAAACAAGAAAACCCAAGAGGAGGAAAACGGUACAUUUCAAGCAAAUGGCCCACUUGGCUCAGUGACCUGCAUUUCACAAUGGCAGGUUUUUGAAAGCAAUAUCAGCCAGGGUCAUUGGUUCUUGUUUACCAAGAUGCUUUGCUAUUAAGUAAACAGCCUGUGAAGGGCCCUAAUGUCAGCAAGUUAAUUUGGGUUUCUUAUUCCAGCAUUUAACAAUACCGAUUUCUUGAGUUGGUUUGUUGGUGUUGUUGUUUUAUGGUAGUUGGCCCCCUUAUUGUUACGUUAUUGCCUCCUCCUUUUAUCCUUCCCCUUAUUUAUUUAUUUCAUGUCACAACUAUAACAUAGAAAUAAUUCAGCUGCCAGGUGUUAAAGUAGAGCAAAGAGACAUAAUCACAUUACUCCUGUUUUAGCAUCUUUAUACAAGCUCUGAGUAUGUCUCAGAAGUAAUGUACAUUUUUUUUACAAAUCACUUUUAAAGCUCUUCAAAACCUAGCUCUUGUUAUAUGUUAUAGUGUCUGAGCUUAUCCUCCUGACUUACACCUUUUGUUUAAACUUAAGCUUUCUUAUUUGGGAAUUUGAAUAUUUACAGUAGUGUAGAACUUUCUAGCAGUCUUUCAUUCUAUUUAUCUGUUCAUUGUUGGAAUUGGUAUCAAAGCACCGUUGCCUUUAAAGUGCCUUUAAGGUGCAUUGUCAAAGCCAUCUUAUGUUAUAUAUGACCUUCGUAUGUGCCUUUGUAAGUGGCUUCGUAAAUCUAUCUAUCAUCAGAACCUGUACGACUUGUCGGUUUUACAACCUGACUAAUGUCUAACUAACUAGUUAGUAGCUAACAAGAUGCUGUCUAACUGACUAAUGUCUAACUAACUUCUAACUAAUAACUGUCUAACUAACUAACUAACUACUGACCCUCUAACUACUAACUAACUGCUAUUUAACUGUGAAUGUGGAAUAAACCUUCAGAAAGACAGUCGAGUUGUGCCCGCCGUACUUGUUCUGGUUACCCUUUCCAGAAGGGAGUAUUGAGCUGAAAGGAUCAACCAGCAGAAAUCUGGACAAGUAGUAUUUUUAUUUUUAUUUCAAUUGUUCGACUUAUAAUCCCCAUUGUGUUCUGGAUUUUAAAAGAUGCUGACCCUAUAUGAUGAUAUUAUACUAUUAUUGUUGUUGUUGUUGUUAUUGUUUGAUGCACUGUGAAGAUAAUUGGAUUUCACAAACAAAUGUACUCCUUUUUCAUUCCAUUCUUCAGUUAGACCAUAUCAUGUUACACUAUUGUACUUUCAAAAACAGAAAUGCAAAAAACCACACACUCUCCAUUAUAAUCAACCCCAAUAAUGGUUGUGAGGAAGUAGACGCUGGGAAACAAUUAAGUGGGCUUUAUUCUGGAUAAAUACGUGAACAUGAUUGGGGCAAGGUCCAUCAUCAUAAAGCUAUGUGAUACAGGAUGAAUAAUGAAUGAGUGUAAACCAGUUACAGGUAUAAAACAGGGUGUGUGGAAUUACAUCAUGAGUCAUGCAGGCCAACAUGAAUGAGGAUUGUUUCAACAUAAUGCAACAAUGCAAAUACGUCACCCACUUUUUGUCAACUCAUCUCUUGUACAAACAAUGGAAUUUUUUCAUGAAAUAUUAAUAUGCUGUAUUGUUAUUUAGAUAAAAGACAAUUUGACUUACAGAGAAAUAUU